rnacentral:rRNA from 1 species
UACGUAGGGGGCAAGCGUUGUCCGGAUUUAUUGGGCGUAAAGAGCGUGUAGGCGGUUAGGUAGGUCCGUUGUGAAAACUCGAGGCUCAACCUCGAGACGCCGAUGGAAACCAUCUGACUAGAGUCCGGAAGAGGAGAGUGGAAUUCCUGGUGUAGCGGUGAAAUGCGCAGAUAUCAGGAAGAACACCCAGUGGCGAAGGCG